rnacentral:rRNA from 1 species
AUUGAACGCUGGCGGCAUGCCUAACACAUGCAAGUCGAACGGCAGCGCGGACUUCGGUCUGGCGGCGAGUGGCGAACGGGCGAGUAAUACAUCGGAACGUACCCUGCUGUGGGGGAUAACUAGUCGAAAGAUAAGCUAAUACCGCAUACGACCAGAGGGUGAAAGGGGGGGACCGCAAGUCCUCACGCAGCAGGAGCGGCCGAUGUCAGAUUAGCUAGUUGGUGGGGUAAAGGCCCACCAAGGCGACGAUCCGUAGCUGGUCUGAGAGGCCGAUCGGCCACACUGGAACUGAGACACGGCCCAGACUCCUACGGGAGGCAGCAGUGGGGAAUUUUGGGCAAUGGGGGCAACCCUGACCCAGCAAUGCCGCGUGUGUGACGAAGGUCUUCGGGUUGUAAAGCACUUUUGUUCGGAAAGAACAUGCGUUGGUUAAUACGUGGCGUGGAUGACGGUACCGGAUGAAUAAGCACCGGCUAACUACGUG